rnacentral:rRNA from 1 species
UACAGAGGGUGCAAGCGUUAAUCGGAAUUACUGGGCGUAAAGCGCACGUAGGCGGUUUUUUAAGUCAGAUGUGAAAGCCCCGGGCUCAACUUGGGAAUUGCAUUUGAAACUGGAAAACUAGAGUGUGUGAGAGGGGGGUAGAAUUCCAAGUGUAGCGGUGAAAUGCGUAGAGAUUUGGAGGAAUACCAGUGGCGAAGGCGGCCCCCUGGCACAACACUGACGCUCAGGUGCGAAAGCGUGGGGAGCAAACAGG